GAGCAUAUGAUGAUUAGUUUCUAACUGAAUGAUUGUGAUGCAUUCAAAGGAACCACUGAUGUUU
ensembl:snoRNA SNORD42 Small nucleolar RNA SNORD42